CUUGAGGCUGCCGAGCCAGAGCGGUCGGUCGGCGGGCCGCUCGCGGCCGUAGGUGGCGACGAUGGCCUGGGCCUC
rfam:Frankia alni str. ACN14A chromosome, complete sequence.